AGUGAACGCUGGCGGUAGGCCUAACACAUGCAAGUCGAACGGCAGCACAGUAAGAGCUUGCUCUUACGGGUGGCGAGUGGCGGACGGGUGAGGAAUACAUCGGAAUCUACUUUUUCGUGGGGGAUAACGUAGGGAAACUUACGCUAAUACCGCAUACGACCUACGGGUGAAAGCAGGGGAUCUUCGGACCUUGCGCGAUUGAAUGAGCCGAUGUCGGAUUAGCUAGUUGGCGGGGUAAAGGCCCACCAAGGCGACGAUCCGUAGCUGGUCUGAGAGGAUGAUCGGCCACACUGGAACUGAGACACGGUCCAGACUCCUACGGGAGGCAGCAGUGGGGAAUAUUGGACAAUGGGCGCAAGCCUGAUCCAGCCAUACCGCGUGGGUGAAGAAGGCCUUCGGAUUGUAAAGCCCUUUUGUUGGGAAAGAAAAGCAGCAGGUUAAUACCCCGCUGUUCUGACGGUACCCAAAGAAUAAGCACCGGCUAACUUCGUG
rnacentral:rRNA from 1 species